AUUGCCUGUGGGAGUUUGCAACAUACCUGACUGUACCCAUUUACACCAUGUUCUUAAGAAGAAGGAAAUUUUUUGCAUCAUGGUCCUCACCAGCUUAGUUUCCCUUCCGAAGAAAGAUGCAAAACUAAGACUGGCAGUUGGACUGAAGUUGAAAGCUCAGCUUCUCUGGGAAUAGCUCCAAGACCACCGACCGCCAGGUGUGCAGAGCCCAUCUCUACCAUCUCCAGGACAAGGUGGAGUCCCGUGGUCAUGGCUGGACUUGGACAAGGGUGCUUCAGGUGAAAGGUUACAGGGUUUGAAACUGACCUGUUCUUAUCACCCUCCUAAUUAGUG
rnacentral:lncRNA from 1 species